rnacentral:rRNA from 1 species
CUACGUAGGUGACAAGCGUUAUCCGGAUUUACUGGGCGUAAAGGGCGUGUAGGCGGUCUUGCAAGUCAGAAGUGAAAUUCCUGAGCUCAACUCGGGCGCUGCUUCUGAAACUGCAGGACUUGAGUGCUGGAGGGGAUAGCGGAAUUCCUAGUGGAGCGGUAAAAUGCGCAGAUAUUAGGAAGAACACCGGAGGCGAAGGCGGAUAUCUGGACAGUAACUGACGCUGAGGCGCGAAAGCGUGGAGAGCAAACAGGAUUAGAUACCCUGGUAGUCCACACUGUAAACGAUGAAUGCUAGGUGUAAGAGGUAUCGACCCCUUUUGUGCCGGAGUUAACACAAUAAGCAUUCCGCCUGGGGAGUACGGCCGCAAGGUUGAAACUCAAAUGAAUUGACGGGG